CACGGGUGAGUAACACGUAUGCAACCUGCCUGCCACAGCCCGGAUAAUCGGGAGAAAUUCCGUCUAAUACGGCAUAAUGCAUCGACGGGACAUCCUGUUGGUGCCAAAGGUUAAUUCCGGUGGCGGAUGGGCAUGCGUCGCAUUAGUUAGUUGGCGGUGUAACGGCCCACCAAGGCGACGAUGUCUAGGGGUUCUGAGAGGAAGGUCCCCCACACUGGUACUGAGACACGGACCAGACUCCUACGGGAGGCAGCAG
rnacentral:rRNA from 1 species